rnacentral:rRNA from 1 species
GAUGGUUAGUAAUAAGUAAAAAUUGAUUUAAAUAUUAAAAAUUUAUGUAAUAUUAAUUAAUAAUAAGAAAUAAUUAAAAUUUAAUAGACAUAAAUUGAAAUGGUUUAAUAUAAUUAUUAAAUAAUUAAAAUAAUAUAUAAUAAUUAUUAUUAUAUUAUAAUAUUAUUAAUAAAUAUUUAUGAAGUUUAUGAAUACUGGAGGUAAGAUUACAACAUGGAUUAGAUUAGAAAUAUGAUGGUUUACAUUGAAUGAUGACCUACCAAUAAUUGCAAUUAAAACAAAUAUCACUGGGAUUCGAUCCAUAUUUAUGUUCCUAUAAGUGACUACGAACACGUACCAUACCAAGAUACCCUUGCAUGGAAAGUGGGCACCGUUGAUAAGCGUCGCUGCCCAAGUAGUUCGGGUUCCCCCGAAACGGGGUAAUCAGAUAUUCCCGAGGGAAAAGGUUGCUCUCUAGACAGCGUGGUUUGAUUAGCUAGUUGCGAGGUAAGGGCUUACCAAGGCAUGACCUAUAGCUGGUCUGAGGGGACGAUCAGCCACCCUGGAAAAAAGGUGCGGUCCCGACUCCUCCGGGGGGCAGCACUGGUUUAAAACUGCACAAUGGGCGAAAAUCCCGAUACCACGUUAGGUCCGUUCCGAAGCGGCAGUAGGGCAUUCCGUGCUGUUCCAAACUUCACCCUUU